rnacentral:misc_RNA from 2 species
GUACUCUCACACUCUCCGAUCCUUUGGAUUUGGGGAGCGGUGGACUUGGGUGCUUGCUGCUUUUGUUGUGGCUCACCUUAAAUGCGUUAGUGCACCUCCUGGUUGGACAUAGUACGGCGUGAUAAGUGUCUUCGCCGGCGCCUCUUAUCAAGAGGGUGGCCGAUUGGGAGCUCUGUGCUUUCAAACCGUCUUCGGACACUAUCUGACA